UGUGCUUUUCUUCCGCUUAUGACCAGAGCAUGCGUGUUUGAACGUGUAUGCAUGAGCUGCUUUGGGGCAGGCAUGCAUGAAUAAUAUUACAGUUAACUUUUUUCUUUCUUUUUUCAAUUGUAUUCCUGAUUUAAUCCCUAACUUAGGUUAUCUGUAUAAAUUGUUAAUUUUCCUAUAAAAAUCCAAUAUAUAUCAAUCAUCCACCCAUUGUUGCAAAAUCAAACGGGCUUCCUCCCUUUUUCAUCCGGACUUGGAUCGAUGAAUUAAUUAUAUAAUUGAAUCAAGCGGAUUAGGCAAUUCAAGGACUUUGUUUGGGUUUGAAGAGCUAGUCAAAAGGCAACAAAUGGGUUUCGCAUGAAACCCAGGCAUAAUUAUAUAGAACUUAGCUUGAGCUGAAACAGUGAGAGAUUCAACAGAUCGGAUGCUUAAAACAUUUCCUUAUUAUAUAUCCAUCCAUCCAACUAGAUCUAACCAUGCAUCUAUGUAUUUAGCCAAAAAAAACACGAGAACAUAUAUCAUUCAACUCCAAGAGAUUUUAAAUAGGUGAAGUCUCAAAAUCAUGAAAGAUUGAAUGGUUAUUUUUAUUUUAUUAUCUUAUAAUAUAGUCUCGAAAUUAUGAAAGAUUAAAUGGUUUAUAAAAUGAAAACUACUAGAUAUAACCACAAUUAUUUGACUUACAGGUGAUACUCGGAUCUUGAAGAUCCUGAACCGAACUGGAAUCCUCCGUCACUAAAUUCCCUGCCAUCUUCGAAUCUCCUGAAGAUAUACAAUUUCAGUUUUUUUUUUUUUUUUGAGGGGGAGGGAGAGGCUCCCCUUGAUAAAGAAUCCCUCUGGGCAAGGCCAUGAAACAGCUAAUCAAGGGAUCCAUCGACUUCUAAAGUAAAACGUUCGAUAUCGAAGGAUUUAAAUCGGAAAUACUAUUUGCAUGGACCCCUUUUAAGCCAGGAGAGUUGCAAGCUGAUAAGGUGAUAUAAUAGAGACAAAGAGAUAAACGUGGAAAGUGGUUUUCUAAAAUUUAUUUUUUAAAUUUGUUUUAUGGUUGUUUACCAUUAAAAAAAUUAACCAAUAAAAAAUACUUUUUGAUAAAAAAAAAUUUAGUUUUGUUUUUAAAAAAGUAUUUUUUUUUUAUUUUAGUCGGAAAACACUUUUCAGAAGUUAUAAAAUAAUUAGAAAUAUCAUACUAUUUGCUAAUUAUAACAAAUUUGAUUCUCAAACUAUUGAUUGCUAUAUAUUUUAUCUUGAUUUUUUUUUCAAUUUCACCCCUUAGAAUUUGAUUUAAUUUGAUUUUUGUAUUAAGUUUGUCCUUAUUUUUAUGAUUUAUGAUUGUUAUUUUUUUUCUCUUAUUAUUUUUUUAAUUAAAAUUUUUUAUCUAUCAAAUUUGGUUCUCAUUCUUUUGAUUGUUACUUAUUUUAUUUGAAAUAAUUUAUGAAAUUGUAAUUAUUAUUAUUUAAAUUUCAUCAUCUUUUAAUUUUUUUUUACUUGUUAGAUUUGAUCACUAUUAUUUUUAUUGUUAUUUAUUUUAUUUGAAAUAAUUUAUGAAAUUAGAUUUUUUUUUUCAAUUUCAUUUUCAUUCAACUUUUUAAUUUGUAAGAUUUGUUCUUCAUUAUUUUAAUAAACUUGAAAAAAAAUAUUAAUAAGUUAUUUUUCAAUUCAUUAAUUUUUCAUGACAUAACCAAACACUAAAAAGUGUUUUCCAACUUAUUUUCCAUGACACUACCAAAUAUUAAAAAAUAAUUCACUUUCCAGAAAUUUAUUUUUGAAAAAAAUCUUUUUUUUAAAAAAAAUUACUUUUCAGAAAACAAACAGAGCUAAAAAAUAACCAAGGAGCUAUGACAAUAGACACAAGAGAAGAAAGAUGAUUAUGAAUUGCCAUGUAUUAUGUAUGUUAAACUCAUGAAAAUUAAAAUUAUCAUGAGUUGAGAGGAUGUGUUAAAAAAAUAAUUAAGGUAAAUAUUUUUUUUAUUAUUUUUCAAUUGAUUAAAGGAAGAAUCAGGAAAUUGAUAAAAUCAAGGUAAUUAAGAAAUUAUUUUUAUCAUCUAAUCAAAGGAGAUAAUCAAGUAUUUUGUAUAAUUUAUUUUAUUCUAUUUCACUAUAUAUCUUAUUAUAUAACUAUAUAAACUUGACAUAAAUUAAAUGUAAAACACAUAAUUAAAACCUUUGCAUUGACCGUGCCUGUUCACAAUGCUACUGAUGUUCUAGAUUCUUUUUCCGCAGGUGGUGUUCUGUUUCUAUUUUUCCUGAAUGACUUCAAGUCCCCGUGUCUGUUCACGCUUUAGUUGGAUCGUUUUGCCUACAUGCUAUGUUCCACCUUAAAUCUUUUGUGUCAACUUCUCAAAUGUUAGCAAUCAUUAUUGACCUGAGCAUAUUAUAUUUGUUGUUCAAAGAUGACUCACUUGUUUUUUUUUUAUCAAGUUUGGCCUCAUUAUGGAAUGAAUCAAAAUUUAAAGCUAGAUAAAAUUUAUUCUAGAUUAUUCUGUUUUUUAAAAUGAAACAAGUUGUACGGGCUAUUCUGGACUGAACGAAACGACAUAAGUGACGACCUUGGGGUCUACAGGUCGGCUCCCAUGAGCCAAAAUCUUGGCCAACCAGCUGUAAAAUUAAUUUGAUGCGGAUGCGGAUGCGGAUGCGGCCAGGGAAGAGGUGGCUAUAGAUAGCGUUCUAAUUGAACAUAAAAUAAUAUAAGAAAAGGACCUUUUAUUACUGGAACAAGAAGAGAAGGGUUCGAAGGAGACUUUUGAAGCCCUAUUGUAGACAUGUUUAUGUUUUCAAUUAAAAAUAUUAUACUUAUGAUUUGUUUUAAGUUUGGUAGAAAGUGUGGAUGCCAGCUGUUUUAAUUUGGUGGUAAAAUGGCCUUGAGUUAUUUAAUAUAUAUUGUUUUUAAUUUUUAAGUUUUUAAUACUUAUGAUUUGUCAAUUAACUAUAUAUCUAUGUUAGUUCAUCAGCAUGUUAUAAUUAAUGGAUUGAGAACACUUAAAUUUACUCGUAUAUAAUUUAUCAUGUGCAAGACAUAAUUCAUGUUAUAUUUAGCACGUUUUUCUAAAUGUUUUCCUAUUUGAGUGGUAAAGUUCAAUUUUGUCCUUACAAAUUCAUCAACAUUCAACUUUUAUCCUUAAUUUUCAAAUAUUACCCUUCAACUUUUCAAAAAGUUUCCAUGAAACUUCUAGCCAUGAAAUGACAAACAUGUUUUUAUUUGGAUGUUCAGGAUCUUUAAGUGUUUUUUUUGUGAGAUAUAGUGAAGCAUAUAUGAGGAAUCGGGGGGGGGGGGGAUCAGAGAAAAGUAUUUAUACUUGCGAUUUGUUUUAAGAUUGGUACGUAGAAAGUGUGGAUGCCAGCUGUUUUAAUGUGGUAGUAAAAUGGCCUUGAGUUAUUUAAUAUAUAUUGUUUUUAAUUUUUAAGUUUUUAAUACUUAUGAUUUGUCAAUUAACUAUAUAUCUAUUUUACUUCGUAAGCAUGUUAUAAUUAAUGGAUUGAGAACACUUGAAUUCACUCAUAAAUAAUUUAUCAUGUGCAAGACAUAAUUCAUUUUAUAUUUAGCACACACACUUUUCUAAAUGUUUUCCUAUUCGAGUGGUAAAAUUCAAUUUUGUCCUUACAAAUUCAUCAACAUUAUACUUUUAUCCUUAAAUUCUUAAUUUUCAAAUAUUAGCCUUCCACUUUUCAAAAAGUUUUCAUGAAACUUCUAACCAUGAAAUGACAAACUUGUUUUUAUUUGGAUGUUUAGGAUCUUUAAGUGUUUUUUUUGUGAGAUAUAGUGAAGCAUAUAUGAGGAAUCGGGGGGGGAUCAGAGAAAAGUAAGAAAUAUAAAGGAAGUCAAGAGCAAGCUUUUUGUUAUUUAUUAAGGGGGAAAAUAGAAAGUUAGAAGAAGUAUAUUAGGAAUUAUUAAACUAUAUAGGGGUAGGAGUACAGCUACUUCAUGAAGCACUAAUUUAUUGAAUCCUUCGAUAUCGAACGAUUUACUUUAGAAUUGAUCCCUUGAUUGGCUGUUUCAUGGCAGGGAAUUAUUUAUCAGCUGUAGCCUCUCCCUCCCUCUCCAAAAAAGAAAACAACACUGAAAUUGUGUAUCUCCAGGAGGUUCGAAGAUGGCAGGGAAUUUAGUGAAGGAGGAUCCCAGUUCGGUUCAGGAUUUUCAAGAUCCAAGUAUCACCGGUAAGUCAAAUAAUUUUGGUUAUAUUUAGUAGUUUUCAUUUUAUAAACCAUUUAAUGUUUCAUAAUUUCGAGACUAUAUUAUAAAAUAGUAAAAUAAAAAUAACCAUUCAAUCUUUCAUGAUUUUGAGACUUCACCUAUUUAAAAUCUCUUGGAGUUGAAUGAUAUAUGUUCUCGUGUUUUUUUUUGGCUAAAUACAUAGAUGCAUGGUUAGAUCUAGUUGGAUGGAUGGAUAUAUAAUAAGGAAAUGUUUUAAGCAUCCGAUCUGUUGAAUAAUCUUUGAUUUCUCUCACUGUUUCAGCUCAAGCUAAGCUCUUUAAUUGUUCUGCCUGGGUUUCAUGCGAAACCCAUUUGUUGCCUUUUGACUAGAUCUUCAAACCCUAACAAAGUCCUUGAAUUGCCUAAUCCACUUGAUUCAAUUAGAUAACACAUCGAUCCAAGUCCGGAUGAAAAAGGGAGGAAGCCCGUUUGAUUUUGCAACAAUGGGUGGAUGAUUGAUAUAUAUUGGAUUUGGAGGGAGCGUAGAUACACUUACACUUAGAGAGGAUAUUAAUUUGAGAUUAAUAAAUUCAACUUGGGGUUUGUGGAGAUUCAAAGAGAUUAUUCAAAACUUGAGGUUCUUCGAUCCCAAGCUUCAAUUUGAGAUUUUUUUAGGGCUUUUGAAGAGAGAAAUUAUAUUUGGAGGAGAAGAAAUUUUAAUUUCUUUUUUGUUUGAAUUUUUUUACGUGAAUAACUUAGUUUUUUAUCCAAUUUAAAAAUUUGUGUUAAUCAAGAAUGCAGAGUUUAAUUUUUCAAAACUGGGUAGACAAAUAUAACUUCAACCAGAUUAUGUAUAGAAUGUUAAGUGUUAAUUUUUCAAUUAUUUAUUUCACAAAAAUACAAUCAAGAUUAGCAUAUGAAAACACAUAAUUAAAUAUCAUAUACCUCUUUUAUCUCUUUUUAAUAAGCACGUAUCACAAAUAAUUAAGAAGAUAAGAAUUUGGUAGCAUGACUCUUUGAAAAAUGGUAACACCUCAUUUGCUGUCCACAAUAUUAUAUUUCUCUCUAGUAAAACAUGUUUUCAGUACUAGUAUGAUGUAUUUGUUGUAUGACCGUUUUGAUUUAUAUUGGUGACCUAAGCUAAUUAUAAUAUCAUUGUAAUUGGUUUAUUAACUAUUUUUUCAAUUAUAAUUCCAAGUUAAACAGAUACUAAAAACAAGGUUAGCGGACCAUUUUUAUAGGAAAACAAUUUAUACAGAUAACCUAAGUUAGGGAUUAAAUCAGGAAUACAGAUGAAAAAGAAGGAAAAAAGUUAACCGUAAUAGUAUUCAUGUAUGCCUGCCCCAAAAUCAGCUCAUGCAUACUCGUUCAAACACGCAGGCUCUGGUCAUAAGCGGCGCCGAGGUUCUGUUCAACCAUCAUCAUCUAGAGCUGGGAAGAAAUCCAAAUCGGAGAUCGACAGAGAUUACCGUGAGAGAAAGAAGGUAAGUAGCCAGCCAAAUAUUACCCCUCUCUAGCACUCCUCUGUGGUGAUUUUCUUUAUUUUUCUUUCCCUCAUACAUAACUCAUAUUCAUUUCGUUUCCUAUCUAAUUUGCAGGUAGAGGAUGAAAAAUUGAAGGCAAAGACGGAAGAACUUGAGAAAAGCAAUUCCCACCUUGAAGGACAAGCAUUUCAGUUGAGAAUGGAUCUGAAGGAAACUAGAGAUGAAAUGAAGGAAACUAGAGAAGAAAAUAUCAACCUGAAGAUCGUGCAAAAGAGUCAAAGUGAUUCUAUACUUGAACUAGGGAAGGUGGUAUUUUCUCUUCAUACACUAUAAACUGAUCCUUUCACAAAACUUAGGACGAGUAUAUAUAUAUAUAUAUAUAUAUAUAUGUAAAAAUCAUAACUCUAUAUCUAAAAAUUUAAAACGAAAAAUUGGAUUGAUUAAUUUUUAGAUCAAAUUUAUACAUGAUUGAAUUCCAUGUAUAUAUAGAGAUAUAUAUAUGUCUCUUGUGCCGCACCGUGAAAUGCUGUUACGAUUCCAUUUGGUUUAAAUCUGGGAACCUUUUCAUAGUAAAUUAUAUUUGUAUACAUUAUUGAUGAGUAAACUUUAUGACUCUCAUGCUUACAAAUACAAACUUUAACUAGAAAAUUUGCGUACAUGAUCUCUUUGAGUGCAGAUGUAGAUGAUUAGUACUCACUCCUCAAUAGAAAAAUUACAUCUUGUCUCAUAUGAUAUCCAUUAAUUUCCUCAACACACCUUUUGCAGGAGCUGAUUGCCUCAGGUGAAAAGAUUAAUGCCUUGAAAGCGCACCAUGCACAGGAAUUGCUGGAGCGCGACAGAAAGUUUAAUGCCUUGUACGAGGAACAUGAACAGCAUAUGCGGGUGUGCACCUUGUGGGGCAUAGACUUGGGAAAAUUGCUUGAGAACGGCGCCGGAGAGAUGGUAAUGCUCUCAUUUCUUUAUUUAAGUACAUUCUAUCAUAUAAAAUCAUUUGAGGGGAAGCAGUAGAAAGUUCAGAAGAGCUGGGUCUCAUCAACAGGUUUAAAUUUCUGCAUAGAGAUGGUUAUUAUAGUUUUCUUUUUACUAUGGUGUUGUGUAGGUUUCAAACUUGGUUAUGACUCAAUAUAAAAUUAGUUUUUAAGCCUUACACAGUAGUUAAAGUUUUAAAAUUAAGAUAAAUUUUCAAUAUUUUUUUAAUAAAAUCCUAGUAUUCUCCUUUUCUUCUUAUUAAUCUGUCAUACUAUCAAUAUUCUAACUGUUCUAUGAACAAUAUUGUUCACAGAACAACCCCACGGAGACACCUGCCACUGCUCAGGCCACCAGCAACUUCGUCAACUUUGACCCCUUGAUCGCAUCCCAAAUGGCCUAACUCGGCAAGACAUAUGUAACAGGGGUAAACAUUUUGAACUACUAAACCCUUAUUUUAUAUUUUCGAGUUUGGAUUCCCUAAGGCCUCAAACUGUACUGGGAGGCAUGAAUAAGUGCAAGAUGGACACCUUCUUUGUGAGACAAUGUGGUAUUUUAUCGUAUGGGCUGCGCUCAGCCUAUUGGAUAUUCUCUUUAUUAUGUAAUCUUAUUUUAUGGUGUUUGUUUAAAUGCUUAUGGAUAUGGUUGUGAUUGAGGUUGGGUAUAAUUUAAUUAUAUAUAAAACACAACUAUAAAAAUUAAUUAUUCUUGUUUUUUCUAGUUUGUUUUGGUGAGUUCCAUACAAGGUUUGAUUUUUUUUUUCGAGUUUUGAUCAAUUGUUUUUCAAAAAAAUCAAUAAAUUAAAGAUCAGGUUUUUAUUCGAUUAGGCUCUGGUCAACUCAAAUUUUUAAUCUAGUUAGUUGAGUUUUUUUUUUUUCAGCUCGGACCGGUACAGACUCCAGGUUAGUUUUGUUUCAAGUUGAUCUGCUAGGUUAAUCUAGAUUUUACAACUAUAAUUUAUAUGGUUUUAAAAGGGAGUUUUAAUAUCGCUUUUAUAUUAGUUUGGUAUAUGUAAAGAAAUAAGUUUUUCAACAACUUAGUAGAGAUUAUCGCGUUUUUAUUGCAUUUGUUCUUAUAUGACUAUUCUUUCUCAUGCAUACGUCUCUGUUAGUCCUUAUAUUUUUAUAGAAUUUUUAAUUGAAUCUCGUUUUCUAUAAGUUAAUUAUGUCCUUGUAUGUCAUUGAUAUGCUUAAUUAUCCCUUCAUUUGUCCUUAACAUUAAAUGAGAGCUUAUUCAUGGAGCAUUUAGAGAUAUGGUAAUACUUGCUUUUCAAAAUGUUUUUUAUUUGAAAAUAUAUCAAAAUAAUUUUUACUUUUCACUGUAGGCUAACGAAUUAAGGGUCACAAACCGAGUCUUAAAUCUUCAUGCUCCUAUUAAGACUAACCAGUAAAGACCUCCAAAUGGCCUAACUCAGCAAGACAUAUGUAGCAAGGGUAAACAUUUUGAACUGCUAAACCCUUAUUUUAUAUUUUCGAGCUUGGAUUCAAUAAGGCCUCAAAGUGUACUGAGAACCAUGAAUAAUUUGGUAUUUUAUCAUAUGGGCUGGGUUCAGCCUAUUGGAUAUUCUCUUUAUUAUGUAACCUUUUAGUUUGCCUGCGGCAUUUCUUCCUUUGUUCUUGUUGGUUUUUUUCCCUAAUAUCAGUCAGGUCAUGCAUAUCCAAAAUUAAUUAAUUUCUUUACAUCCCAAGUUAUAAAACUUGACCCGAGUCUAGCAAAAUCCGGGUAGCAAGCCCAUUAAAUUGAUCUCGCUCAUCCUCCAAUUUUCUUUUAAAAGAGGAUGAAAACAAAAUUGUUUUAACCAAUGUUUUUUUAAAAGAAUAUAUGUAUUGAAGACCUGGUUUUUAUUGGAUUAAGUUUGGUCAACUCAAGUUUUAAACCUAGUUAGCUUACUUGUUUUUUUAUUAUUUGAUUUUCAGCUCAAAUUAGUUUAAGUUAAUUGAGUACUAAAUUAAUUUAAUAGAUUAAUCUAGAUUUUACAACUAUAAUUUAUAUAGUUUUAAAGAGUAAUUUUAAUAUUGCUUUUAUAUUAGUUUGGUACACAUAAAGAAAUAAGCUUUGCAACAGCUUAGUUUCAAAUCAGCUAAUUGACCUACUAAGUUAAUCUAGAUUUUACAACUAUAAUUUAUAUAAUUUUAAAGAGAAGUUUUAAUAUUGCUUUUAUAUUAAGUUGGUAUACAUUAAAAAAAAAAAAAGAAGCUUUGCAAUAACUUAGUUUCAAAUAGUUAAUCCAGAUUUUACAACUAUGAUUUAUAUGAUUUUAAACAGGAGUUUUAAUAGUGCUUUUAUAUCAGGUUGGUAUAUGUAACGAAAUAAGCUUUUCAAUAACUUAGGAGAGAUCAUCGCAUUUUUAUUGUAUUUGCUUUUAUAUGGCUAUUCUUUCUAUGCUUACGACUCUAUUAGUCUCUACAUUCUUCCAUAAUGUUAAAUUGAAUCUCUUUUUCACAAAGUUAAUUGUGUUCUUGAAUGUCAAUUAUUUGCUUAAUUAUCCCUUCAUUUGUUCUUAACAUUAAAUGAGAGCGUAUUCAGGAAGUGUUUAAGAGUGUAAUAGCGGUUGCUUUUAAAAUUAUUUUUUAUUUGAAAAAAUAUUGAACUAACUUUAUUUUUGUUCUUUUAAAAUUAAUUUUUGACAUCACCACAUCAAAACGAUCUUAAAACAUUAAAAAAUUAAUUUGAAAAAAAAUAAUAAUUAAAUUUUAACAAAAAACACUACAAGAUUUCACAGUUUUACCGACGGAAAUAUUCCGUCGGUGUGUGACAGAACGUUCGUCGGUAAAGUAUUUACCGACUAUAUUACCGACGGAAUACUCCCGUCGGAAUACCUUUUGUCGGUGAUUCCACAUUCCGUCGCUAUAUCGGUCGGUAAUAAAAAAAACACGUUUACCGACGGCCCAUGCGCGCCAAAAAAAAAACGUUUCCCGCUGGGGAAUAUACCGACGGAAUAUAUUCCGUCGGUGUUAUAUAAAUACCGACGGACUACCUCCGUCGGCAAAAGUGUCGGUGAUAUUUCAUACCGACCGAAUAAAUCCGUCUGUAAAUUCGUCGGUAUUUUUAUACCGACGGAUUAUUUCCGUCGGUGAGUAUGUCGGUGAUGGGAUGGCAUACCUCAGACACUGUCUAAUGCCGACGGAUUUAUUCCGUCGGUAAAUCCCUGUGUAAUUUUUUUUUUAAUUAUUUAGAAAAAAUAAUAUAAAUUAAUAGUAAUACAAACCAAUUAUGCAAAUAAAAUUUAUAUUAAGCAACAAAAACUCAAAGUUAAAUAAUAUUCAUUACAAAAUGAAUGUGUUUAAAAAAAAAACAAUUAAUAUAAAGGUGGAGGAGGAGGAGGAGGGUGGGGGUUAGGCGGCCGAAAAGGAUUAGGCGCACAUGUUCCGCCUUGUGUCAUGUUCAUGACCAUUUGACGAAGCUCUUCAUAGGCCGCUCUUUGUUGUUCAGACUCUGCUCUGCGUUGUUCGUCCGCCAAUCUGUGUUGUUCGUUCGCCAAUCUUUGCUCUUCUUUGAGUUGUGUGUACGCCUCUGAUAGGUGGUCGCACCUUUGCUGCAAGGCCACAAACUCCUUAGAUUGGGAGCUCCCACCGGUUGAAGCAGUACCGGUCGACCGCAACUUGGCAGCGGUAGUGUUGGAGAGCCCGUAAACCCGAUUUUUAUCGGGUCCACCUGACGAUCCAGCCUCCAUCCACAAAUCCGGAUCGAAUUCCGGAUGGGUCGAAGGAUCAUCCCCGUAUCUCUCCCUCAACCGAUUAUUAUAGGUCUCCUGAAAAAAAAAUCAUAUUCAAUUCAAUAAACAUAAUAAUAACUUACAAAAUAAAAUGGUUAAACAAACACACCACAAACUGUUGAGCACGGUUGUCAACGAACUGUUGCGUCCCCUUUUGGCGGUCAUGACUCCGCACGUGCGUCUCCACAAACAGCUCCAUAGGGCUCGGCUCACGUCCAAGAGACGUAGCCUAUAUAUAAUGAAAAAAAUUAUUAACAACAAAUUAAUUGAACGAUAUAUUUCAUUUAAAUUAAUCUUACCAUCCGUUUCGCAUGUGCAGCAAACGGAACGGAGCCGCCGGUGUGCGUUGUAACCGAGCCAUGAAUUUGCCGAUUCCGGUUGCCGCACCGGACUGUGAGCGUCGAGUGAACCGCUCAGACGUCACGUGCUGAAGAUAGUGCGGCCAUAUAUCUUCCGGGAUGUAUAUUGGUUUGAAAUCCCUCCAAACCGCAACAUCGUUCCAGCCUUGUAACCCCUUAUCCCUCGCUGUUUUUUUUGCUUUUUUCUGGGCGUCAUACCAAAAAUCACGCAACCUAAUUCACGCACGAAAAAAUUACAUUUCAAAACAUAAAUAAUUAUGUAAAAAAAAGUCGUAUUGUUUUCGAUGUUACCUAAUUGCCGCGUGAUUUUCCCACACCCUCCUCACAACACUGUCAUGUUCAUCGUCCCAGCAGAAUCGAUGCUGUAUAUAAAAAAAUAAUUUUUUAAAAUGUUAAUAAUUUAUUUACAAUUAUAACUGAAUUUAUAGAAAUAAGCUGAAAAUUAUAUAUUAACACGAACCUCAAAUCUACGAAACCAUGCAUUGAUUUGAGGCAUCCAUUCAGGAUGUCUGGAUAUCUGACUCCAUUGAAACAAUGGAAUCUCCAUCGACGCUUUAAACGCCGAUGAUAUUAAUCGGGCGGCCUCAAUGUUUGUGAACCUGAAAAGAAAUGAAAUUAAUUUGUGAUUACUUCAUAAAUUAUGUUUUAAAUUUGUUUUUUUAUAUAAAAAAAACUAAAACCUUAACAAACUUACAUUGAAAGAUCGUCCUUCCACUGUGCCUCGAACUGGCGGGUAAAUUGAUUCCGCUUCGAAGGCAUGCCGCGUCUGCGAUGUGAAACAUCGCUGGAAGAGGCAGCAUCGGUUGACGCGCAGGUGGUGUAGGUGCCUCUUCUUGAGAGGCACCUAAGGAAACAUCAUCAUCGCUGCUAGACGAACUUGAUUCGACUGGACGACCAGCUCUGGUUUUCAUUUUGCGCAUCUAAACAAUUUUAUAUUAAUAAUUGUAAAAUAAAAUUCAAAAGUUAAAAAAAAAUCGGCAGCACCUCCCCUAUACUGGAUACUACCCAAAUCCACAAACCUGCAAAUAUUAACAAUAGCCACAACCAAUCGAACCAAUCUAUACUAAUUAUUCCAACAUAUUCAACUAUUAAUCCUAAGAUAAAUUCAACGUUAACAAUUACAAUUCACAAAUUAAUCAAUAAUUAUAUUCAAAACAAUAAAAAAUAUAACAAAAAAUAAAUUCAAUAAAUUCAACAAAUUAUACUUCAACAAAUUAACAAUUACAAUUCAACAUUAACAAUUAUAAUUCAACAAAUUCAAAAAAUUCAAAAAAUAUUCAAAUAUUCAACUUUAACUAAUUCUAAGUUAAAUUAACUAAUAACAAUUCUAACAACACAACAACAAAAAAUAUUCAAUAAAUUCAACAAUUAAAUUCAAUUAUUCAACAAUUAAAUUAACAAAUAUUCAACAAAUUCAAAAAAUUCAAAAAUAUUCAAAUAUUCAACUUUAACUAAUUCUAAGUUAAAUUAACUAAUAACAAUUCUAACAACACAACAACAAAAAAUAUUCAAUAAAUUCAACAAUUAAAUUCAAUUAUUCAACAAUUAAAUUAACAAAUAUUCAAAAAAUAUUCAAAUAUUCAACUUUAACUAAUUCUAAGUUAAAUUAACUAAUAACAAUUCUAACAACACAACAACAAAAAAUAUUCAAUAGAUUCAACAAUUAAAUUCAAUUAUUCAACAAUUAAAUUAACAAAUAUUCAAAAAAUAUUCAAAAAAUUCAACUUUAACUAAUUCUAAGUUAAAUUAACUAAUAACAAUUCUAACAACACAACAACAAAAAAUAUUCAAUAAAUUCAACAAUUAAAUUCAAUUAUUCAACAAUUAAAUUAACAAAUAUUCAACAAAUUCAAAAAAUAUUCAAAAAAUUAAAAAAAAAAGGAACGAAAUAUACAUACCUUAAUAAUGUGUCAAAUUCAAAACUUUAUCUACAUUGCAACAAAAAACACCAACACAACAAAAAUAAAAACUAAAAAAAAAAAUAAAAAAAAAAUUAGAAAAAAACACAUACCUUUUAAUAUAUGAAGAUUUACAACACCAAAUCUUGCUAGAGAUUAAAGGUGAAAGUGUUUAAGGAUUGAGGGGGAAAAAAAUGAAAAAUCUAAGGUGAAAAACGGAGGAGAAGCGAAGAAGCGGCGGGGAGAAGAAGAAAAAAUGAGGCGAAGCGGCGGGGCUGGAACUUAUAGGUCAAUUUUACCGACGGCAUCACCGACGGAAUUAACAUCCGUCGGUAAAAGGUCAAAAUUCCGUCGGUAACAGAUCAAAAUUCCGUCGGUAUUUUUCGAAUUUCGCCCCGAAUUUUUAAAAGCCCUCCAAAAUUUUCGCAGUCCGUCGGUGAUUCCGUCGGUAAUCUGACAAGUUCAGAGGCGCAUUAAUUAACGCACUUUGGAAAACGCGCGGUCCGUCGGUAAUUCUGUCGGUAAUAUGUGUAACCGACAAAUUACCGACGGACCUACGCCGUCGGUAAUCCCGUCGAUGGUGGUGUUAUGUUUUCGAGCUUACUGUGAGAUGCCGACGGACUAUAUUCCGUCGGUAAUCCCGUCGAUGGUGGUGGAUGUUUUUCGAGCUUACUGUGAGAUGCCGACGGAAUAUGUUCCGUCGGUAAUCCCGUCGAUGGUGGUGGAUGUUUUUCGAGCUUACUGUGAGAUGCCGACGGACUAUAGUCUGUCGGUAAUCCCGUCGAUGGUGGUGGCAUGUUUUUCGAGCUCACUGUGUGAUGCCGACGGAUUGCAUUCCGUCGGUAUAGUUGUCGGUGAAGCCGUCGGUAAUUUCGUCGGUGUUGGUGGCAUUUCGCGUAAAUAUUUAUGAACUCUCUGUGAGAUACCGACGGAUGGUGAUCCGUCGGUAUUGACGUCGGUGAUUGUGGCAUUAUGCAGGAAAGGUUGUCUUUGUAUUGCCUGUUUACCUUCCUGCAAUAACUUAACUGAUAAACUGUCUAUCACAUAAAACAAUAACCACAUUGCUUAAACAAUAAAUAUUUUGUUUUACAAAAUACAUCAUCAAUAAUCUAAAUUACAUGAGACAAAUGUUUUUACAUAGGGCUUCAUUUUUAUAAUUAGUCGGAAUUUCUUCUUCUUCCUCAUCAAUUGAAUUGUCAUCAUCUUCAUCGCAAUCUUCAAUAUGGAUAUCAUCUUCUUCAUCGACAUUUGGUUGUCCAGAGCUGAGAACAACAUUCAACUCCUCCCGUCAAUAUCAACAAGACUAUCAUCGAGAACUCGAAAAUUUGAAUUUUCUUCCAAUUCAAUCGAAGGAGCAACUCGAUAUGGUUCAACCAACUCACGAACUUGAAAGACUUCAUCUCGCACACUUGUGUCUUCGUUCUCAUCCUGAACAACCUCGACACGACCCGUGGUUUCGUUUUUAAAACGGACAACCAAUCAACUCUUAAACGAUCCUUUCUAAAUGAAGGGUGUAUGUGUAAUAAACUUGUUGACAUUGCUUUGCGAAAACAAAGACAUCGUUUAUGUUGCGGAGUCUAGCUUUUGAGUUGAUUUCGACCAGACCAUGGUGCGGAUCAACUCUGAUUCCUCUGUCUGUCCGUCGUCAUACCAAUAGCAUUUGAAUAAAAACACUUUAUUCUGCUCGCUAUGAUAUUGCAGUUCGACGACCUCUUCUAAUCUACCAUAGUAGUCAACUUCUAACUGGCUACUUGUGGAUCCCUUAACACAAACACCGCAGUUGUAUGUCUUUCUUCUUGCCCGUAUUCUUCAGUAUGGAAAACAUAUCAUUGACAAAAUACCCGUUGUAGCACUUAACUUUUCUUUCAGGGCCGAGGCUUAGUGAAGACAAUGACUUGGGCGCACUCCUUCCCAUUUGAUAAACCUUGUAAAUAUAUGUAAUUAAAUGUACAUCAAUACAUGGUAAAUGAACGAGAAUCUCGUAAUGACAUGCAUACGUUAGAAUGAGUUUGUGAUAGUGCUUACAUGUGGUUCUGAACCAUGUGGCAAAUUGUUCAUCUUGUAAUUGAAAGAUCUGGGAUUCGGUCAGCUGCGAGUUAUUGGAGAGCAAAUAUUGUCGAUGUUGCCUGCAAGUGAUAAUGAGUGUAUGAUAUUACAAUAUAUAAUUAACAGUAUAUUACUGACAAAGUUUAAUUAGUAUUACACAUAUAUAGACUUACUGAAUAAAUGGUCUCAGCUCAUCACAGUUAAAUAGAACAUAGUUGUGUGCUUGUUUGAAUUCUAUUUCCGACAAAUAUCUUCCUCUUACGGCAUUUUUAGGUGUGGGUCGUCCAGUAUUGGAGAAUAUUGACAAGUUCCCACUGGAAGGCACUUCACCGCCAUCGUCAUGCCGUGGAACGCGAUUGAUUCUUGUUCUCAGAUGAGGUUCGAAAUAGUACGAGAUAAAUGUUGAUAUCUCUUCAACAAUAUAGGCCUCAGAUAUCGAAGCCUCAACAUGCGCCUUGUUCUUAACCUUUUUUUUUAGAUUAAACAAGUACCUGCAUUGAAGUACAAUUCAAGUAUUUUCAAAUAAGAAAAACAUAGAAAAUACUUUAAGAUAUGAAUUCCAUUGCAACUGUAAUAUCUCACCGUUCGAAUGGGUACAUCCAUCUAUACUGGACCGGUCCUCCAGCUUUUGCCUCGAACGGUAGAUGUAUAGGGAGAUGCUCCAUUGAGUCAAAAAAUGAAGGAGGGAAUAUCAUCUCAAGUUUGCAUAGUGUCUCGAUGAUAUUCGUUUGAAGCAUCUCAAUGUGCUCAACAUUCAUCUUGCUGGAGCAUAUAUCUCUGAAGAAAUGACUGAUCUCCGUUAGUGCAUCCCAUAUUCCCUUUGGCAACAAAUCACGAAAAGCUAAUGGGAUGAGUGUUUGCAUAAACACGUGGCAGUCAUGGCUCUUCAUUCCAUACAAUCUGCAGUCCUCUAUGUUAACAAGCCUUGAUAUGUUCGAUGCAUGUCCAUCCGGGAAACGCAGACUCUUAAGCCAUUUGUAGACUAGCAGUUGUGCGUUUUUCUCUAACACGAAGCUUGCCCUUGGUUUUGCAACCCGUGACUCGUCAUAAACCAACUCCAUAUUUUUACGGUUACAGUAUAAAGCUAUAUCCAAUCUAGCCUUCAUGUUGUCCUUUGUCUUCCCCUUCACAUCCAUGACGGUGUUGAAAAUAUUCUCAAACACGUUCUUUUCGAUGUGCAUGACGUCAAGGUUAUGGCGGAGAAGAUUAGUCUUCCAAUACGGAAGCUCCCAAAAGAUACUUCGCUUUACCCAAUUAUGGGUCAAACCAAAACCAGGAAACUUUUGCUUACCUGAUUGAAGGCCAAACACAAUGUCACCGUACUCUGAUACAACAUGAUGCAAUUCUUCACCAGAAAGACGCGGGGAUGCAACAUCUUUUUCAACUCUACCAACAAAGAAAUCUUUUCUGUUCUUUCUGAACCUGUGAUUAAGUGGCAAGAAGCGACGGUGACAGUCAAAAAAAGAAGCUUUACCUCCGUUUGCUAGCGUGAAUGCCUUGUUGUUUUCCAUGCAGUAUGGACAUGCGAGUUUCCCAUGCGUGCUCCAACCAGAAAGCAUUCCAUAAGCUGGAAAAUCACUGAUAGUCCACAUCAAAGCCGCCCUCAUAAGGAAAUUUUGUUUCCUCGAUAUAUCAUAAGUCAGAGAUCCGGAGGACCACAACUGCGCCAGCUCAUCUAUCAACGGUCGAAGACAAACAUCUAUAUUCCGCCCCGGGCUGCUUGGACCGGGUAUGACAGUAGAUAGAAACAUGAACUCCGGCCUCAUACACAUUCCCGGUGGCAAGUUAUAAACUGUGAGAAUGACCGGCCAACAAGAAUAGGGAGCAGCAAAUGACCCAAAUGGGUUGAACCCGUCUGUACACAACCCAAGUCGAACAUUCCUUGAUUCAGCAGAAAAGUCAGGAUGAACACUGUUAAAGCGUUUCCACGCUUCGCCGUCAGAAGGAUGCACCAUCACACCAUCAACGACAUCGUGUGUUUGGUGCCAUGUCAUGUGCUCAGCAGUCCUUGGUGACAUAAAUAACCUCUGCAGUCUAGGUGUGAUCGGGAAAUAUCUAAGUUUUUUAUAUGCCACUAGAGUCUUCCCCCUGCCAGUUCUGGGUUUGUAACGGGAAUGCCCGCAUGUCAUGCACUCGGUCAUCAGCAUUUUCAAGGUAGUAUAACAUGCAGAAGUUAGGGCACAUGUCAAUUUUCUGGUAUCCUAAACCGAGGGGUUUCAUCAUGGACUUCGCAGCAUAGAAGUUCUCUUUGAGCCUGUUCCCUUCUGGUAAAAUGCUUCUUGCCCAAUCAAUAAUUUUGUCAUACCCGGCCUCACUCAACCCGUGAUCUGACUUGAUGGUGAACACCUGUGCCACAGCCGAUAAUUUACUGUGGUUUGUGCAGCCAUCCCAUAAUGGUUCGUCAGAAUCUUUCAACAAAUCAAAAAACCUAGCUGCCUCUGCAUUAGGUUCUUCUUCUACGAUUGGACAUUGAUUGACAUUAUCUUGAUUCAUUCUCAUUGCAUCCAUAACCAUGUUUCUGUAAGGAUUAGUGUUGUCAUUUGCCGCUUCAUGCACGUUGCUAGCACUAGAAGUUGACCCAACCACCGUUUCUCCCAUUCUCCUAUUACUAACAAAUACCUCUCCAUGUGCAUACCAACACUCGUAAUCCUCCACAAACCCUUUGUGUAGAAGAUGCAUCAUUACAACAUCUGGAUGCAGAUACUUUUUAUUUUGACACUUCCUGCAUGGACACCUAAUACCGCCUCCAGUAAAAUUUCUGGGAAUAGAUGUUGCGAAAUUAAUAAAACCCUGAACCCCGUUACAAUAAUCCAUCCUCCGCAAUCCUUGGGGUGAAUCUAGAUACAUCCAUGAACGAUCAUCCAUGACUUCUAUCGAACCUCUAUAAAAAGGACCCAUUAAUUAAGCAAGCUCUUAAUUAUUUCAAAACAACAUGUAAUUCGGUAAUUCUACAAAUUAAGUUUUAACAAUUUUCAAACAAAUACAAUCUUACAAAAUCUAAAACAAACCAUAACAAGUAUAAAAUUAUACAUUCAUAUACUACAAGUUUGUUUGAGAAAUAACAAUAAAACAUGUACAUCUACUAAAAAAAAAUACAUAUACUAAAAAAACAAUAAAAUUGACAUUUAAAUGUUAAAAUUUUAAAAGAUAGAAUUACUUACAAAAAAUGAUAAAAUCCGUCGGUAAAUCAGAACACGGAUGCUGUGACCACAAAACAAAUACAACUUGUUGUGCUGAGAUGAGGAAGAUUUUUGUUUUGGGGCGAGGGGGGCUGGUUAUUUUGCAGAUGGGGAGGGUUAGGAUUAGGAAGAAGAAGGAGAAAUGGGGGAGGAGAGUGUCGGCAGAGGGCCAUAUAUUCACUUUUACCGACGGACUUACCGACGAGUUUUAUUCCGUCGGUGAAUCCGUAGGCGAAACCGUCGGUAAUUCUGACGGGCAAUCGACACGUCACCGCACGGACCUGCUAUUCAAAUCCCUCGGUGAUUCCGUCGGUAUUUUUAACGGUGCACCCGUCACGUCACCGGUACGGAUCUGGCAUUUCAAAUCCGUCGGUGAUUCCGUCGGUAUUUUUUGUUGGUGAAUAGGUCCCAUCACGCGUACGGGCCCCAGUUUUUAAUUCCGUCGGUGAUUCCGUCGGAAAAAUCACCCGCCAAAACCUUCGCGCCACUGCCCGCCCUUUUUUCAUUGAUUCUGAAUUUUCGGUCGGUAAUUCGGUCGGUAAUUACCGACGAACAUAGUCCGUCGGUAAUUACCGACCUAAUUACCGACGAAUAUUUGCCGUCGGUGAUUUCGGCCGAGAAAUACCGACAGAAAAAAUUCUGUCGGUAUGUCCGUUGGUAUUUAGCGAUUUUCUGGUAGUGAAAAUAGGUUGAAACUCACUCAAAAAACUUUCUUAAUCAAAAGAUCAGCAAUUUUAAUUUUAUCAUCGUAUUUCUAUAGUUGGAUUAAAGUUUUUUUUUAUAUAUAAUAAAAUAGUAUAUCAAUAUUUAUUUUUUAAACCUAACAAGCUUUCAUACAACAGCAGGUUAGGUUUUCUACAUCUUUUAACAGAAGUACUUGUUCAUCAAGUAAACCGGACAUUUUUUCCAUUAAUGGUUUGACAAUCACACUAAAGGAUGGCGUAUAGAAGAGAAUCUAGUAGGUUUUUUCUUCUACUUUUAAUUUCUGAUAAAAAAAAAUGAUUAAAUUUCCAGUGUGCUUUAUGUGUUUAUUUUUUUUCUUAAGAUUCGUGACUUCGACUGUUUUCAUGGAAUGAAUUAUUUCCCAUUUCAUUUAUAUUCCUGCUUGACCACACAAUUAUAUAAUUGAUUUAGGAUUUGCUAUGCUAAUAUGUGUGCCCUGUUAAGUGGUCUUGGAUCUAUUUUCCCUUCAAAAGCUAGCUUAUGAGACCCCUUUCAUUUUAAUUUGGUAGUAAAAUGGCCUUGAGUUAUUUAAUAUAUAUUGUUUUUAAUUUUUAAUUUUUGAUAAUGUAAUAGUUCUUUUUACUUCUGAAUUCCAAGUUAUUCUAACGAUAUCUAUGUUAGUUCAUAAGCAUGUUAUAAUUAAUGGAUUGAGAGCACUUGAAUUUACUCAUAAAUAAUUUAUCAUGUGCAAAGCAUAAUUCAUGUUAUAUUUAGCAAACUUUUCUAAAUGUUUUCCUGUUCGAGUGGUAAAAUUCAAUUUUGUCCUUACAAAUUCAUCAACAUUCAACUUUUAUCCUUAAAUUCUUAAUUUUCAAAUAUUACCCUUCAACUUCUCGAAAAGUUUCCGUGAAUCCUCUAACCAUUAAAUGAAAAACUUGUUUUCAUAUAUGAGGAAUCGAGGGGGAUCAGAGAAAAGUACGAAAAAUAAAAAGGAAGUCAAGAGCAAGCUUUUUGUUAUUUAUUAAGGGGGAAAUUAGAAAGUUAUAAGAAGUAUAGGGAUAAUAUUAGGAAUUAUUAAACUAUGUUGUGGGGGUUGGGAGUACAGCUGUAAUUUACGCUCAUCUAUUGGUCUCGCAACUCUAUGAAGCACUAAGUAAUAUAUGUGUGGACACCAUUAAUUUUACUUCAAAGUGGGUCCAUCCGUCCAUGCAAAUUUGUAUUUGAAUCUUCCGAUGUCGAACGUUUUUAGUUCAAUUACUUUCGAAGUCGAUUGAUCCCUUGAUUAAUCAUUUCAUGGGCUGGCACAAAUGGGAUUAAUAAUAAAGCGCAGUCUCUCCCUCCCUCUCCAAAAAAAGAAAAAAACACGGAAAUUAUAUAUCUUCAAAGUUUGAAGAUGGCAGGGAAUUUGGGGAAGGAGGAUUCCAGUUCGGUUCAGGAUGUUCAAGAUCCAAGUAUCACUGGUAAGUCAAAUGUGGUUAUAUUUAGUAGUUUUGAUUUUAUAAACCAUUUAAUAUUUCAUAAUUUCGGGACUAUAUUAUAAGACUAUAUUAUAAAGUAAUAAAAUAAAAAUAACCAUUCAAUCUUUCAUGAUUUUGAGACUUCACUUGUUUAAAAUCGCUUGGAGUUGAAUGAUAUAUGUUCUCAUUUUUUUUUUUUGGCUAAAUACAUAGAUGCAUGGUUAGAUCUAGUUGGAUGGAUGGAUAUAUAAUAAGGAAAUGUUUUAAGCAUCCGAUCUGUUGAAUAAUCUUUGAUUUCUCUCACUGUUUCAGCUCAAGCUAAGUUCUAUAUAAUUAUGCCUGGGUAUAUAUUGGAUUUGUUGCCUUUUGACUAGCUCUGCAAACCCAAUCAAAGUCCUUGAAUUGUCUAAUCCGCUUGAUUCAAUUAGAUAAUUAAUUCAUCGAUCCAAGUCCAGAUGAAAAAGGGAGAAAGCCCGUUUGAUUUUGCAACAAUGGGUGGAUGAUUGAUAUAUAUUGGAUUUGUAGGGAGCGUAGAUACACUUGCACUUAGAGAGGAUAUUAAUUGCAAUUGAUUUAUAUUGGUGACCUAAGCUAAAUAUUAUAAUAUCAUUGUAAUUGGUUUAUUAGCUAUUUUUUCAUUUAUGAUUCCAAGUCAAACAGAUACAAAAAACAAGGUUAGUGGACCAUUUUUACAGGAAAACAAUUUGUACAGAUAACCUUAGUUAGGGAUUAAAUCAGGAAUACAAUUGAGAAAGAAGGAAAGAAGUUAACUGUAAUAGUGUUCAUGGAUGCCUGCCCCCAAAGCAGCUCAUGUAUACACGUUCAAACACGCAGGCUCUGGUCAUAAGCGGCGCCGAGGUUCUGUUCAACCAUCAUCAUCUAGAGCUGGGAAGAAAUCCAAACAGGAGAUCGACAAAGAUUACCGUGAGAGAAAGAAGGUAAGUAGCCAGCCAAAUAUUACCCCUCUCUAGUACUCCAUUGUGGUGAUUUUCUUUUUUUUUUCUUUCCCUCAUACAUAACUCAUAUUCAUUUCUUUUCCUAAUCUAAUUUGCAGGAAGGGGUGGAAAGACUGAACGCAGAGGUGGAAGAACGUAAGAGAAGCAAUUCCCACCUUGAAGGACGAGUAUUUGAGUUGAGAGAGUUACAGGUGAAAACUGACGAAAACUUGAAGGAAGCUAGAGAAGAAAUUUUCAACCUGAAGAACGUGCAAAAGAGUCAAAGUGAUUCUAUACUUCAACUAGAGAAGGUGGUAUUUUCUCUUCAUACACUAUAAACUGAUCUUUUCACAAAACUUAGGACGAGUAUAUAUAUAUAUGUAAAAAUCAUAACUCUAUAUCUAAAAAUUUUAAACGACAAAUUGGAUUGAUUAAUUUUUAGAUCAAAUUUAUACAUGAUUGAAUUCCAUGUAUAUAUAUAUGUCACUUGUGCCGCACCGUGAAAUGCUGUUACGAUUCCAUUUGGUUUAAAUCUGGGAACCUUUUCAUAGUAAAUUAUAUUUGUAUGCAUUAUUGAGUAUACAUUAUUGAUGAGUAAACUUUAUGACUCUCAUGCUUACAAAUAUAAACUUUAACUAGAAAAUUUGCGUACAUGAUCUUUUUGAAAGCAGAUGUAGAUGAUUAGUACUCACUCCUCAAUAGAAAAAUUACAUUUUGUCUCAUAUGAUAUCCAUUAAUUUCGUCAACACACUUUUUGCAGGAGCUGAUGGCCUCAGGUGAAAAGAUUAAGGCCUUAAAAGAGGAACAUGAACGGCAGAUGAGGGUGUGCACCUCGUAUCACUUAGACAUGAGAAAUAUUUGUUAUUCUGAGAACGCCGGAGAGAUGGUAAUGCAGCACUAAAAGCUCUCAUUUCUUUAUUUAAGUACAUUCUAUCAUAUAAAAUCAUUUGAGGGGAUGCAGUAGAAAGUUCAAAAGAGCUGGGUCUCAUCAACAGGUUUAAAUUUCUGCAUAGAGAUGCUUAUUAGAGUUUUCUUUUUUACUAUGGUGUUGUGUAUGUUUCAAACUUAGUUAUGACAUAAUAUAAAAUUAGGUUUUAAUCCUUAUACGGUAGUUGAAGUUUUUAAAUUAAGAUGAUUUUUAAAUAUUCUUUUACAAAAUCCAUUCAUUCUCUUUUUCUUCUUGUUAAUCUGUCAUACUAUCAAUAUUCUAACUGUUCUAUGAACAAUAUUGCUCACAGAACAACCCCAUGGAGACACGACCUGCCGCUGCUCAGGCCACCACCAACUUCUAAUUCAACUCUGACCACUUCGCAUCCCAAAUGGCGUAACUCAGCAAGACAUGUAGGAGGGGUCAACAUUCUGAACUACUAAACCCUUAUUUUAUAUUUUCGAGUUUGGAUUCCCUAAGGCCUUAGCUUGUGCUUUUUUUUUUUUUUUUUGAGUAAAAACAUAUUUUUAUAGCUUUUAAAGGUAUGGUUAGGUGUGAUUUAUGCUUAAAAUAUAUUGUAUCUUUUAAAAAAAACCACCACACAGAAGCUAAACACCUUUAAGAGGCAUGAAUAAUUGCAGGAUGGACACCUUCUUUGUGAGACAAUGUGGUAUUUUAUCAUAUGGGCUGGGCUCAGCCUAUUGGAUAUUCUCUUUGUUAUGCAACCUAUUUAGUUUGCCUCAGGUAUUUCUUCCUUUGUGCUUUAUAUGUGUGUUUUUUUCCCUUAAGAUUCGUGACUUCGAGUGUUUUCAUGGAAUGAAUCAUACCCCUUUCAUAGCCGAUGCGUAAUUAACUCCAAUAAUCUCCCUCACACAUGUUAGGUCUUGUGUUCAAGCCCUGGCGUACUGUAAGGUCCAGACCUGUUAGCAAACUUGGACUAUUCUCCUCCUCAAAAACUAACUUACAAGGUUCCACUUGUAAUCUCUUCUACAACUCCUUUCACAUAAUAAUACGUUUAGGUAAGAUUUUAAUAUAUAUAUAUAUAUAUAUAUAUAUAUAUAUAUGUCAAGUUUAAAAUAAUUAGGGCUUAAGCCGAAUUGAGUAUAGGCCAACGAGUUAAUUGUCACAAACCGAGUCUUAAAUUUUCAUGCUCCUAUUAAGACUAACCAGUGAAGAUCUCCAGAUAUUUUUAUUUUUUAUUCUACGGUAAAGGGUAUUUAAAGAUUUUUUCUUGCAUAUUUUUCGUAUUGAAUUGGUGUAUUUAAAAAGAUUCAAUACAUUUCUGUAAAUGUUAGUCAAAGCAAAAAUAAAAAGCUUCCUUGACUAUAAAAGCAACCGGAUCACCUUUAAAAUCCCAAGUACCUGUUAUACGUAAAAAUUAAUUAAGAAGAAAUGAAGUCUGCGAAAAGAAAAAUGAGCCGAAGUUACUUAUAUAAUAAGUAACAGGUUGUUUUCCUAAUUUUAUUUUUUAUUAACAUGAAUUUUUAGAUCAGCUUGUGCUAAGAUAUGGAUAAAAAAAUGUUAUUUGUUUAGAUAUCUUUAUGUGUGUAAUUUCUUAUAAGAAUUUCUAUAUUAUUUUGUAAAUAUUUGAUAUUUGGUAAUUGAAUGCUAAUUUAUAAGAUGUAUAUACGAUUGUUUUUUUUAUUUAACAAAAAAUUGUAUUAACAGCGAAUUCAAGCGUGCGUGCGUGUAUAUUAUUUGUGUGUGUGGUGUAAAACUAGUAUCAAAUUUCACUUUGGAUGCCAUAAAAUUAAAACCUUAAUAUAUAUCAGAGAUGGAAAAAAUAUGCAAAUUGUCAAUCCAAUCAAUUUACAAAUCAAUGUUUCUAACCAUUGAGCUAGAUAUAAUUAAAACUUGGCCUCUGGUUAGUGUAAGUGUUAAAGGAAAUUAAAGAAAAUCAAACCAGUUCAGGAAACCAAGAAAAGCAAGGAGAGGAAUCUGCAGAAUAAAGUUGCAGCCACUGUCAAUUAAUGUAGAUUGAUUUGUUUGUUAUUUGUUUCCUCGCUUGUAAACAAGCCAAGCUUAAUUAUAGGAAGCAUAAUAGGAUUCUGAUGCUAUGAUGACAAUAUAAAGGGCUGUAAUAUUUGUUUUAAUACAAAAGCUCUGUUUCAAUUCUGUUUUAGUAAGUGUUCAAAGAAUCUAUAAAAUAAUAUUAGGGUAGUGAGAAUUUCAAUAAUUGAAGCUAAAGGUGUUAGGACAAUUUGCAUUUUUUUUUUAAAUUAACGUGGAUGUCCGGGUCAGUUUACGCAUCUUCCAACUAAUUUAAUGGACCUUGAAGUUAACGAUCAUAUAAACAUCUAAUAACAAUCAUAUUAACAAUCACAUUAUUCAAAUCUAAAAUUACAAGAAAAACAAACUUUUGAUUUUAAAUUUUUAUUACUAGACCAGCUACUAUUUAUAUUUAGUAAAAAAAAAACAUUUAUAAAUGCAAUGCUUGUACUUAGUUAGUUUUUUUUUUAAAAAAAAAAUUAUUUAAAUUUAUUUUUUUAUAUUUAAAAUUGUUUUGACAUAUUAAUAUUAAAAAAUAUAUUAUUUUCAUAUAUAAAAAAAAAACAUUUCAAAAACUAAUUAACGUUACAUUCUCAAGUACCCUCAAAUGCAUUGCGGGGUGGGUGCGCUCCCUUGGGUUUCCAUAAUUAAUAAUAUGAAAGACAAAAUAGCUCUUUCAAUAAGGUCAGCUCAUGAAAGGAAAAUUGAAUGAUAUGCUUGUUUUAUUAUUCGCUCAUCAGCACAACACCGUAUCAUUAUGCACUAAAAACUAUGAUGGUGUGGUUAGUUUUCGAUCGAUAAUUAAAAUGUUUCUCAGAGUAUAAUUGUAAUUAUUUUUUAAAAUAUUUUUUAUAUUAAAAUAUAUUAAAAUGAUAUAUUUUUUUUAUUUUUUAAAAAUUAUUUUUAAGAUUAAUAUAUCAAAACAAUCCAAAAUAUAUAAAUAAUUUUAAUUUUUUAUAAAAAAAUAGAAUUUAUUAAAAAUACAGGAAUGUAUUAAAAUAAUAUAUUUUUUUUAUUUUUUUUAAAUUAAUUUUAAAAUUAGCACAUCAAAACGAUUUAAAACAUAAAAAAAUAAUUAAUUUUUCAUAACAAAAAAAAUAGAAUUUGUUGGAAACACGGGUUGCCCAUGUUUCCAAACGCAGUCAUAGUCAAUAAUGUAUUUAUUAUUAUUAUUAUUAUUAUACUUUUAAAUUUUUAUUUUUUUUAUUUUUUUUUCUGAUUUUAUGAUGGUGGGGUUGGGUAUUGUCUUAGCAAUUACUAGUUUAUAGGCCGGCUAACGCUGCGACAUGGGUCAAUUUUAAAAAUAAAAUAUGGAAAAAAAUUGUUCAAGAUAAUUAUUUAAUAAUAUUAUUAAAUCUUUUCUAAUAAAUCAACUUUGAAAUCUCUUACUAGUCAGUUACCUCUAUGGACACCUUCUUUGUGAGAUAAAUUCGGUAUUUUAUCAUUUGGGCUAGGCUCAGCCCAUUGGAUCUUCUCUUUAUUACGAAACAGUUUAGUUAGCCUCAUGUAAUUCUUCCUUUUCUUCUCGGUGGUGAUAUUUUCUUCUACUAUCUGUCAGGUCACGCAUUGCCAGUACGUAAUUUGCAUCCAUUUUGUCCUCUUCUAUUUGCCUGGAAGCUAAACAUGCUAUUAUUCCAUGUCUGGGAACUAAGAUGCAUGUAAAACGAGCUAGAAGUGGAGACAUAUGAGGGCCAAAGAAAGAUGAAAAGACUGCUUCCACCGUCCAUUCAUGCAUUGCCCCACGGGCCACUGAUUCUUCAAAUGAAAGUUCUCGUAAACCAGUGGCCUGCAAAAAUUGACGUCAUUUGGCAUUUUCCUUACAAGCCUUUAAUUUCUAAUGAUGGCUAGAUUUUUAUUUGAUGUAGGGCUCAUAAUCCACCACAUCCAACUUCAGAUGACUGCUGUGGAUCAUAUAUGGAUGUGAAGCCUUUCUAGUCAUUAAUUGCAGCUAUCUUUCUUUCAGCCUCACAAAUAGAUAAUGGGGUUCUCUGUUUUGCUGCUUUUAAUGUCAAUCUCAGUUUCUCUACUGCCAAUCUGUGCGAGUGAAGGGAUUAUAGUUUCAGGCAGAUAUAUCACUGCAAAUCAAUCCAUAAUUUCUGCUAGUGGAACAUUUGCUCUAGGUUUCUUUAGUGUGGGAAAUUCAACUCCAAGGUACUAUCUCGGCAUUUGGUAUAACAAAAUUCAGAAGAAAUCUGUUGUCUGGGUUGCGAAUAGAGAAUCCCCUACUGAUUCUCUAGGAACUUUCGCACUCGGGGUCGAUGGAAAUCUAGUGGUUCUGGAUGCAACAGGGAAAAUUGUUUGGUCAUCUAAUGUAAAGAUUGCUCAUUCAGCUAUAAAUAGCAUGAUGGGUGUGCUCAUGGAUAGUGGAAACUUUUUAUUGAGAAGUGGGGAAACCAUCCUGUGGCAGAGCUUUGAUCAUCCGUCGGAUACGUUCUUGCCUGGUAUGAAAGUUGGCAAUAAUCGCAAAACUGGUCAAAGAAAGCAGCUUACGUCUUGGAUAGACGUUGAAGAUCCACAACCAGGAUUAUUCUCUUUCGGCUUGGAUACGACGGGACCUCUGCAGUUUUUCAUAUGGAAGGAUCAUGUUCCUUAUAGCCGAACCAAUGUCUACAGCAACUCUAUGUCAUUAACGAAGUUAUCCCGAUGGCUACCUUUUGCUUAUUACAUUACUGUAAAGUUAGAGGGUGAUGAUAUUUAUCUUUCUUACAGUAUCUCAGAUAUCUCAGCUGUAGUAAGGAUCACACUAGUCCCAAAUGGCGACUUGAGGCUCUGAUAUGGGAGGAGAAAAACAGUCAAUGGUUUUCUAUGUGGCAGUGGCCUAAAGUUUACUGUGAUUUCUAUGGUCAUUGCAGUCCAUUUAGUAGCUGUGACAAAAAAGGUUCUCCAGUUUAUUGCAAAUGUUUGACAGGUUUCCAGCCAAAAGUUCAGCAAGAGUGGCAUAUGACGAAUUGGACCAGUGACACUUGUGUGAGGCAAAAGGCACUAACAUGCGACAAGGGUGAUGGGUUUUUGAAGAUUGAAACUAUCAAAUUACCAGAUCAUUCGUAUCUAGUGGAAAAUAUGAGUGCCAAUGAUUGUGAAUCAAGAUGCCUGCAAAAUUGCUCCUGCACAGCUUAUGCACUUGUCAAUGCAAGUCAAGGAAACUCAGUUAACUGCCUGAGCUGGUAUGGGGACUUGAUGGAUAUUGUACAUGACAUUGAAGGGCAAAUUCUUUACUUUCGUGUUCAUGACAGAGAACUUGGUAUGAUCAUAUAAUUUCAACUAGUUUUAACUUUCUCAACAUCUGCAUUGAGCCUAAUGGAUUAGGACUAAUUGUCCCCUUUAGUGAAUUUCAAUAACAACUAAUCUACCUUUACUUUUAUACGCAGUUGAAAAUGAUGGAAGUAGUGAUAACUUUUCCAGUAGACGCAAGCGCUCUAUUAUAAUUCUAGUAGCAGUAAUUUCUUUAGGGGUUCUUACUGUUCUAUCUGGCUAUUUCAGCUGGAGAAAAAGAUUUGGAAAACAAGGUGUCUUUCCAUACCUUUCUUCAUCAAAUAGAUAAUGAUUAUUGUUGGCUGUCCUGGUUUACUCUGUAGCUUAACAUUAGUUGAUACCUGACAGGGAUAAUUGAAGAGAGUUUUACUGGGACCAGCACCACCAUUGGAGGAGAAGCUGUUAAUGGUGACACGGAGCUGAACAUAUUUAGCUUGAACAGAAUACAGGCUGCCACAAAUUACUUCUCUGAAGAUAAUAAACUGGGAGAGGGUGGUUUUGGCACUGUUUAUAAGGUUUUAUUCCACUUUUAGGAAAUGCUGCUUCCAACUUUUCAAAUUUAGUUGAUUUCAGUUACUUUCUCUUUUCAGAUGAUGUGAUUGGUUUUGUUGAGCAUUUGCUCUGUAGGGAGAUUUGGCAAUUCAAGAAGUUGCAAUAAAAAGGCUUUCUAAGAAAUCUGGACAAGGACUAGAAGAGUUCAUGAAUGAGUCGAAACUUAUUUCUAAGCUCCAACACACUAAUCUCGUGAGACUCUUAGGUUGCUGUGCUGAAGGGGAGGAGAGAAUAUUGGUGUACGAAUACAUGCGGAAUCGAAGCCUGGAUAAGUUUUUGUUUGGUAAACUUCGUUCUCUCCUCUGAACUCCUAAAAUAUGUAGCCAUCCUUGUCUGAACAUCGUCAAUAGCUUGAACACUUACCAAAUUGCAUUACAUUAGGUUUGUUCUACCAUAAUCACAUUGUCAGCUAAUGAUUUCUUCUAUCAGAUCCUUCUGAAAAGGCAAACCUUAAUUGGAGCAAACGUUUUCGAAUCAUCGAGGGCAUUGCUCAAGGUCUACUUUACCUUCACAAGUACUCUAGAUUGAAAGUGAUCCACAGGGACUUAAAGGCAAGUAACAUAUUACUGGAUGAUGCAAUGAAUCCUAAGAUUUCAGAUUUUGGAUUGGCAAGGAUGUUUGGAUCUGACCAAACCGAAGCAGAUACCAAACGGGUGGUUGGUACUUAGUAAGUUUAAAUACCCCACAUAUACUUCUAUUGGCAUCAACCUGAUUCUACUGAUAUUCUAAUUUUCUGCCAUUACUAAUUCAUAUACUUCUGCAGUGGCUACAUGUCACCUGAAUAUGCACAAUAUGGAAAAUUCUCAGAAAAAUCAGAUAUCUUCAGCUUUGGAGUUUUGCUAUUAGAGAUUGUGACCGGUAAGAGAAAUGCUGAAUUUUUUCGCGACGAUCUUCCUCUGACCCUUCAAGGAUGGGUAAGUUGAAAAAAUAAAAGAAAAAAGAAACCUUUUCUUCUGUGUUAUCUCCAUAUAAUAGUUGAUUACUAGUAAAACAAGACAUUAAUGUAUUUAAAAUGCUUCUCAGGCAUGGGAAUUGUGGAAUGAAGCUAGAGGACUAGACCUUAUUGAUCCAUCGAUAAAGGACUCAUGUGAAAGUCCUGACAGAAUUUUCAGGUGCAUCCAUGUAGGGCUUUUGUGUGUUCAGGAAUCUCCAGCUGAUAGACCUCCGAUGCCAUUAGUGGUUCAGAUGUUGAGCAAUGACAAUGCAUCACUUCCUUCUCCAAAAGAACCUGCAUUCUCUAGUCUUAGUCGUCGGAGAUCUAGCAAUUUUGUUGCCUUUCACAACACAUCAACUAUAUAUUCUAACAACGAAUUGACAAUUAGCCUGCCUGAGGCUCGAUAAGACUUUCCAGGUUCUUCAGUUCACUUGACAUGUUUGUACUUUGAAAUUCAUCAAUAUUUCAAGUAUCAAAAUUUACUGGCUCAUAUUGCUUCACAUCCAACUUGAGAUCUUAUUGCAGCUGUGACCAGAAAAAUAUUAGAAAUAUCAACUGCAUCAAAGAAAACAAAUAGUGAAUUUAAAAAAUAAACACAUCAUCAGCUUCAAACCACUAUCAGAAAAUUGGAAAACCCUGACAGGGUAAUCUUUUGAUGUCUAGGAAAACAUUCUGUUAGUAUCUGACUUGUCAAUGAAAUUGUUGAAGGUAAUAUGUUAUCGGCAAGUUUCUCGUCAGGGAUUUACAUUCCAUCAGCAUUUCUGUUGGCAACUUCCAACUCCGAUAAAAAAUGCGGAUGAAAUAUCGACACCUUAAAUGCCAAAAGAACUGUCCAUCGUGAAUUCCGUUGAAAAUGCCAAAACCUUCUACAACUUUCCGAAGAAAUUUGUGCGAACAUUGCCAAUGAAAUGGUUGAUGGAAUCCCAUGUCCAUCACAUAUUUCUUUUUUAUCGUUUAGUUGUUAUAAUUUUAAAUUCACCCUAAAAUCACAAUAACAACAACAACAAAAAUGCAUCUCCAUAACAAAAACUUUAUAAUACAAGUUUCUCCAUUCAUGUAAAUAUUCCAUACACAAAUAUUUUUUAAACAAGACAUAAACUCCUAAAAAAAUAGAGGUUGAGGGAGAGGAAAGUAUCCUGAACCAGAAGGUCCACAGAGAGGGAGUCAAAUGUAAAGCCAUAUAUACAUGUAAUUUUUUCCAAUACCUCUUAUUUUCUUAUUCAAGUUGUGCUCUUAUUUUUUCUCUCUCCAAAUUGGGUAAUUGUACUUCCAGUUGUUCCUGAACCAAUUUUUGGACCAACUGAUCAACAUCUGGUGAUUUCUAGCGUAGGUUGAAAUGUGGUGUGGUUUGCCUCUUGUUGAAACAUAAUGGUCUGCUCUUAUUUAUUAGGUUGUUGCUAUAAACAUAAUACAAUAUAUAAUUUUUGAAUCCCAGAUCAUAAGCACUUUUUAAAACCUUCUGCCACAAAAUCUGGAAACAAUGCUCCAUGAUGUACCCCAGUUUAUAAUUUUUUCAUAUUGCUAUGUCAUUAUAGUCGACUCUAUUAAUUGCUUCGUUGCAGGCAUCAUACCACACAUCAUGUAACAUGAUACAUAAAUUUGUUAAACAGAAAUAAGAUAAGGAAAUAAAAGAAUAAAAAAGUUUACAAUAAUAUAAUUUUCUUUUUUAUUGAUACGUACCUGGUAGCACCGUGGUUUUCGUAUGCUUUCUUGACCAACAUCUGGUUACUAUUGUCCCAACAAAAAAAUUUAUAUUAAAUUCAUACGUUAAUUACUUUUCAAAAUUUAAAUAAUUAUUAACUUAAAUUGGAGAUCAUUUAUCUAACAUUAAUUUUUUUCCCAUCAAGCUUAAUUAUACCUUAUUCAUCCAUUUAGAAUGCUCAUGAAGUUGAUUCUGUUGAAACAAUAGUUCUUCGAACAAUAAUUUAAUCAUAGAUGGGAUCGAAUAGGCAACUUCGAACAAUAGCAGUUGACUCUAUUGAUAUUUUCUUACAAAAAAGAUAGGUAUUCUUGGUUAAAUCAGAACUAGCUUAGUGUAUGAAGAGAAAAUCCCACCUUCCCUAGUUCAAGUAUAGAAUCACUUUGACUCUUUUCCACGAUCUUCAGGUUGAUAUUUUCUUCUCUAGUUUCCUUCAGAUCCAUUCUCAGCUGAAAUGUCCUUCAAGGUGGAAUUUGCUUUUCUUUAGUUCUUCCGUCUCUGCCUUCAGUUUUUCCACCUCUUCCUGCAAAUUAGAUAGGAAAAGAAAUGAAUAUGAGUUAUGUACGAGGAAAGAAAAAUAAAGAAAAUCACCACAAAGCAGUACUAGAGAGGGGUAAUAUUUGGCUGGCUACUUACCUUCUUUUUCUCACGUUGAUCUUUGCUUCUCUCCGCUGCGCUUUUCUUCCCAGCUCGGGGCCGCUUUGUUGAUCUCCGGUGUGAUUUUCUUCCGCUUAUGCCCAGAGCCUGCGUGUUUGAACGUGUAUGCAUGAGCUGCUUUGGGGCAGGCAUGCAUGAAUACUAUUACAGUUAACUUUUUUCCUUCUUUUUUCAAUUGUAUUCCUGAUUUAAUCCCUAACUUAGGUUAUCUGUAUAAAUUGUUAAUUUUCCUAUAAAAAUGGUCCACUAACCUUGUUUUUGGUAUCUGUUUGACUUGGAAUUAUAAUUGAAAAAAUAGCUAAUAAACCAAUUACAAUGAUAUUAUAAUUAGCUUAGGUCACCAAUACAAAUCAAAACGGUCAUGCAACAUUGUGGACCAUUCAUCAUUUAUGGUUUUGAUUUUUGAUGAUAAUAAAAUAUAUAAUUAAUAAAAUCUAAAUAUAUGUUUAUGUUUAUGUUUUACAUUGCUGACUUAAAUAUCAAACAAGCAUAAAAGAUCGAGUUUAUGACUUUAUAUGUUUGUAUUGAUACGAAGGAAGAAUGGCAGAGGUAAGUUAUGUUUUGACUUGACCAAUGAUUUUAUAUGAAUAAGUAAAUUUUAUGAUUGUGGAUAUAUUACCUGUUGUUGUUACUGAUAUUAUCUUGUGCAAGAAAUUUAAGAUAUACAAAUUGUUUAUGAGUUUAACAUGUGAGAUUAGCUCAAGUAUAAUGAAGCAACCAAAUUAAGUUAUUUAAAGAAUCAUUAAAGAUCAUUGGAAAAGAUCUCU
rnacentral:lncRNA from 1 species